ACGGGAGGCAGCAGUCGGGAAUAUUGCGCAAUGGAGGGAACUCUGACGCAGUGACGCCGCGUAUAGGAAGAAGGUUUUCGGAUUGUAAACUAUUGUCGUUAGGGAAGAGAAAGGACAGUACCUAAGGAGGAAGCUCCGGCUAACUACGUGCCAGCAGCCGCGGUAAUACGUAGGGAGCGAGCGUUAUCCGGAAUUAUUGGGUGUAAAGGGUGCGUAGACGGGAGAACAAGUUAGUUGUGAAAUACCUCGGCUCAACUGAGGAACUGCAACUAAAACUGUACUUCUUGAGUGCAGGAGAGGUAAGUGGAAUUCCUAGUGUAGCGGUGAAAUGCGUAGAUAUUAGGAGGAACACCAGUGGCGAAGGCGACUUACUGGACUGUAACUGACGUUGAGGCACGAAAGUGUGGGGAGCAAACAGGAUUAGAUACCCUGGUA
rnacentral:rRNA from 1 species